UGCCUGGUUUACUCCAGCCGCUAACCUCCGAUGCUGGAGCUGGUUAUUACAACCCACAGGCACACACAUACCAGGGCUGGCUGACCCCUAACUUGUCCUGAUGGACUUCAUCUGGGGACCGACACCACACCACCCAGCACUGGAAUUUCAUUCCAAGCCUCCAGGAGUGACGCAACUUGGCCUGGGGUGCCCAGCUGCCGGAUGGUAACACAGCCGCCUCAUCUAGACCCUGAUCUGGGACCCAAGCUGGAGAAUCGCAGUCCACCUUGCCUGGGGUCUAGCGGGCCGAGAAGCUCGUGGCCUGGGGUCUCCUGAGCACACUAGUUCCAGAAGCUUUGGCUGGGCAAGCUAGGGGCUGCGGAGAGGCAGCUGUGAGCCGGCUGCUUCAGGCCGGAGCCCAGGGCCAGCCUGGGUCGUGUUGCUUAGCAACGGGACCGGGUCUGGGCCUCUGCCCUCCGCAUCCUUAUCCCCUUCCCCCAUUGAGGCUCAACCCAGCCCUUGCUCCAAAGCCGAGGGAGUGGCCCAGGCGGGUCUGGUGUGGAGCUUGGAAGGGGGGGGGGGCUCGCUCAGGUGCAGAAGGGGCUGCUGUGUCUGUGUGUGACUUAGGGACCUGCAGGGCCCCAGGCAGAGACGGCUUCCGCCCUGGCUCUGCCAGCUCCAGUUCAAACGAGUCUUUCCGGCGGGGCUGCCCAGCCUGAGCUGCCCCGCCCGCCCCAGCCUCUCGGAACCGGCCGGGAGACGUGCUGCACCCCGCCCAGGCCGCAGGCGAGCUCUGAGGCCGGGAUUAAGGAGUUAUGGUACCACAGCCAAUCUUUCCAGGGUUCAGUUUGUAAACCUAUGCUGGAGCCCGUGGCUGAGGCCUGGGACACCCGGGCCUCUCCGCAGGCUGCAUACAUUCCCCGUUACUUGCCCGUCCAGCUAAUGACACUGGGGAUCUCUGCUUGACCUCCGGGCAUCAUGGAGCUCACAUCUGGAGAUCAGAUCAGAAAAUGACGGAGGAGGAAGCUCCUGAAGAGACGUAUGGCUGAGCUGCGGCGCUGUGGUUUGCCAUGAGUGCUGACUUGGAGAAACAUCGCCUGCACAAUGCCAGUUCGUGUUCUGUGAAGCGAGAUGGCUAGGCUGGCUUCACAGAACAGGGAGGGGUCAUACCUAGUCCCGAUAUUCUUUGAUAAUUGCCUGCUGAAGAGCAUGUUUUCCUGAGUCCAUUUCUCCACCGAGUUGGGAAACUCCUGGACUUCCUGCUUUCAUCCCUUCCUUUGUUAGAGAAAUCACCCUGGCUCCAGCUGUUGGUCUGAAUCUCUCGGUUAUAUUUGGAGACCAAGACAUGAUCAGGCCAUGCAACUGUGGGGAGUGAGUGAUGUCUUUUGGGAUCAAAGUUUUUGUUGUUGUUGUUUUGUUUUUUCCUGUGCAUCCAAUUUCCCCAGCCGUUUCACUAAGUGGCUUUAGCUGUACAGUUACUGGUCAUCUUGUCCAGCGUUAGUAAUUGAGAACACUUGUGCCUCAGAGUGUGCACGCCUGCAGUCAAUGCCCUCAAGUCCCCUAGUCUUUGUUCCCUUCCGCUAAUGCACACAAGGUCACGAGUGUAACCUGGCCUUCAGGUUGACCAGAUGACUUGGAUAGCUUUGCCAUACCAGGCCCAGCUUUGCUCUGUCAAGGAAGAGCCUGAAACAGGAGUAGGCGGGCAGCUAGCUGGCUGUCUCACUUCUGCACUCAGCACAGCAAGCAUUUUUACGUCAUCUAUUUAUCCUUCACAACUUUUCAGUGUUUAUGGAUGUUCACACUUUAAAGAUUUAUAUGUUUUUUAUUUUAUGUAUAUGAGUUUGUAUAUUAUGGAUACCGUGUUCAUGCAGUGCCUUUGUAGGGCAAAAGAGGGAGUCACGGAGUGCUGUGAGCCACCGUGUGAGCGCUGAGAACUUAACCCUGGUCCUCUGCGAGCAAGAGCAGCCAACACUUUCAACAACCGAGCAAUCCUCCAGCCCUGGAUGUUUGCACAUUAGAGAGUGAUUUAUGAGACUUUUAAUGGUUUAGUCAGACUUGGAGUUGCUAUGACAACGCCCCUGACAGAUACACAUGGAGGAGGAAGUGGUUAUUUUGGCUCACAGUUGCAGGGGAUUCAGUCCACAGUCACUUGGCCAGAUGUGAGGAGCCGGGAGAGCCCAUGGCAGUUAGAGCCAUGAAGGGAGACACUGUUUACCUUAUGGAGGACAGGAAGCAGGAAGUGAUGGAGGAAGUAGAAGAAAAAAAAGGGAAGAAAGGGGAGGAGGAGGAGCCCUGAACAAGAUUCAGCCCUCUUGAACUGGUGUGGUGGCGCACGCCUUUCACCUCGGCACUCUGGAGGCAGAGGCAAGCAGAUCUCUGUGAGGUCAAGGCCAACCUGGGCUACACACAUAAUUCUGGGCCAGUGGCAUGGUGGGCAUAGGGAGACUCGUUUCAAAACAAAAACAGAAAGGAAGGAAGAAAGAAAGAAAGAGAGAGAGAGAGAGAAAGAGAGAGAGAGAGAGAGAGAGAGAGAAAGAAAGGGAAGGACAGAGGGAAGAAGGAAGCCCCACAAACAUGUCCCCAGUGACCCACUCCCUCCAACCAGACUCUAUCUCCUAAAGUUUCCAGAACUUUCCAACACAGUACAACAAGCUAGGAACCAAGCAUUAAAUACAUGAGCCUAUGGAGGGCAUUUCAGAUUCAAACCAUAACAAUAAAUAAAAUAGAAAUCUCUAAUGUUGUUUGCUGCGUGUUUGUUGAUAAAUUUCCCAAGUGCUGUGUGACUCAGUCAAAUACUUUGUCUUCUCAGGAGCCUGGCAAGUAUUCUGCAAGGUGAUUCAGAGCCUGG
ensembl:lncRNA